UACGUAGGGUGCAAGCGUUGUCCGGAAUUAUUGGGCGUAAAGAGCUCGUAGGUGGCCUGUCGCGUCGGCUGUGAAAACUCGGGGCUCAACUCCGAGCUUGCAGUCGAUACGGGCAGGCUAGAGUUCGGCAGGGGAGGCUGGAAUUCCUGGUGUAGCGGUGAAAUGCGCAGAUAUCAGGAGGAACACCGGUGGCGAAGGCGGGUCUCUGGGCCGACACUGACGCUGAGGCGCGAAAGCUAGGGGAGCGAACGGG
rnacentral:rRNA from 1 species